rnacentral:rRNA from 1 species
AUCAGGAGUAUUCGGGUUCCGGGGGGAGUAUGGUCGCAAGGCCGAAACUUAAAGGAAUUGACGGAAGGGCACCACCAGGAGUGGAAUCUGCGGCUUAAUUUGACUCAACGCGGGAAAACUCACCAGGUCAGGACACGGUAAGGAUUGACGGACUGAAGGCUCUUUCUCGAUUCCGUGGAAAGUGGUGCAUGGCCGUUUUUGGUUGGUGGAUCGAUCCGUCUGGUUAAUUCCGUUAACGAACGAGACCUCGGCACUCCGAAUAGCGCGGCGGACGUCGCGGCCUCCGGGCCGUCUUCCGCACGAGCUUCUUAGAGGGACCGUCCCCGCCGGGGAAGGAGGUGCGAGGCAACGACAGGUCUGUGAUGCCCUUAGAUGUUCUGGGCCGCACGCGCAUUACACUGACGCGUCCAACGGGUGACUCCCGACCCGAAGGGGCCGGGGAAGUCCGCAAGGCGCGUCGUGAUGGGGAUUGAACGUUGCAAUUGUUGUUCACGAACGAGGAAUUCCUAGUAAGGCGCGGGGUCAUCAACCCGCGCCGAUUACGUCCCUGCCCUUGUACACA